ACAAAAAAAUCUGGUGCAUAAUAUUCAUUAAUUCAUUUAUUGACAACUCAAUAACAAUUUAUGAGCUCUGUCAUGUAUUUGUCACAGCAUCAUGGAUGGAAAUAUAUAUAAAGUCUUCACCUGUGCCCUCAAGGAGUUCAGAUUCUAGUCUAUAGCCAUCUACUUACACAGAAAAAGUAUAAUAAUAGAGAUGAGAAAGUAGCACAAAAGAAGGAGCUGGUGCUCUGGGGUAGAAAGGGAAGUGUGCAGGAUCCCAACACCCAGUGAAUUAUGCCUUAUUCAACCACCUAGUGUAACUAUAAUCCAUUUCACUCAGUACUUGAAGAAUAAACAUACACUCAGCACAAUGCCAGUUUACUACUUAAUGAGAUUUUGCCCACUCCUAAGCUCCUCUGUGGAACUCCAGCUCCGUAGGGAGCUGCAAGGAGACCUACUGCUAUACCAGGUAGGCCUGUGGAAAGUAAACUAUAUAUUCACCUCUCCAUGGCCAGCAGAAAACAAUCAAAAGAAUAGCAGCUCCUGUUCCUGUUUUCCAAUCUCACUUGAAUGCAUGUAAUGUAAUUGAUGAAAACAAAUUUGUGUUUAGAAUCUUAGCUGCUAAUAUGGAUGUAUGUUUUCUAGCAUCUGCAGUAACAGGAUAUUGGAAUGAACACCUAGGUAGAAAUUUUCCAACUACCACUAGAGAAAAGAAAUCCUGAAAGAAAUGCCAUGGGAAACUCAGAGAUUUUAACCUCUUUCUUCUUCACACAUGAAUACCUCUUGCCCGCUUGCAGCACAUGGGCAGACCCUGCCCUUGGCUUUGCUGCCUCCCUGUCAGCAGCCUUCCUCCUCAGCAGUGGUGUGUGCUGGGGCAGGGGUUGAGAUGUGGAAUCGGGGAUGGAACAGACUUGAUCUCCCUCCUGUGUUCACUCUUUCUGUUAAAACUUUGUCUCAAUUUGAAAGACUUAAAACUCCCAUUACUUACUUUAUUCUCUUUCCGAUCCCAUUGUUUUGUAUGUUUAGUGUGAUCUCUGUGGGUGAGGAAUUGUCAGCAAUACAGGUAUGUAGAGAGAUGUCCUUUUGCAUUUUUAAAUGGCCUCCUUGCCAUUUUUCCAUUAAAAGGGAUUCCGCACAAAGUGUGAGAUUGCUACCAUGAAGGGGCAUCCAGUCAGGAUGGCUGGAGAGGCUGGAGAACAUGGACUGAGUGGGCUUAUGGGAAGGGACAGCACUUCAGGUAAAAGGCUUAAUACCGACUAGUUGAAUUAGUGAGUAAUAAAAUCUGGGUUUGUAUUACAAUGAGGAACUAAAAGUUUCUGUACAUUUUUUUCAGUGUUUAAUAUAUGUUAUCUUGUCUAGCUACUCCUCAGCUCCCAACAUAGUACCUAGUAUACAACUAACAUUUAAUAAAACUGAGCUAAAUAAAAUAAUAACUAUAUGAAUGAACUUUGACAACAAGAACUUAUUUGUUCUGUUUGUGGGUGGAGUAUAAAUGAGAUCUUGCCUUUGGGGUUUAAGUAUGGAAUAAUAAACUUCAUGAGUAUUAUGACUAAUUCUCUCUCUUUGUGUCUCCAAGUGCCUGCCACCCUGAAGUGAAGGUGUGUGGUAAUCACUUGUUCAGGGUUUUGCUACAAAAGAGAAAAUCAAACUGAAUACACAGAAUUCUAAGGCACUAAAGAAACGAGAAGCCAAAAUAUGGAAGAAAUCUGAGUUCCUAAAGCAUAACCUGGAGAAGGUUUAAGUCUGUUGUCUCCUUCAUCCUUGAAACUCAAAGUGUAUUCCAUGGACCAACUACAUCAACAUUGCCCAGAGCUUGUUGGAAAUGGAGAAUCUCAAGUCCCAUCCCAAUUAAUUUGUUUGCUUGUUAAUAUUUGCAAAGCACUGCUCUAAGUGACAAAGAGGA